rnacentral:rRNA from 1 species
UACGAAGGGGGCUAGCGUUGCUCGGAAUCACUGGGCGUAAAGGGUGCGUAGGCGGGUCUUUUAAGUCAGGGGUGAAAUCCUGGAGCUCAACUCCAGAACUGCCUUUGAUACUGAGGAUCUUGAGUCCGGGAGAGGUGAGUGGAACUGCGAGUGUAGAGGUGAAAAUUCGUAGAUAUUCGCAAGAACACCAGUGGCGAAGGCGGCUCACUGGCCCGGUACUGACGCUGAGGCACGAAAAGCGUGGGGAGCAAACAGG